ACCUUUUGUGGUGUAGUUGGUAGCACCUUAGCACAGUAAUUAUGUGUCCUAGGUUCAAGUCCCGGUAAGGGUA